UGAGCUAUUUUAUUUUUUAGGCUCUGAAAGCAAGGCUUUUAGUCAGCUGAAGUCAUCUUAGUUAGAUCCCUUAAAGCCAUCACAGAGACAUAUGCAAAUAUAUGCAAAUACGGUACACAACGGAGUAAUUAAAAUAAAAUCUAGUAGCCUUAAAUAGACACCAAAUAACAGUCCUAGGAGAGGCAAUUAAUUCUAUUGUUUACAACCACUCCCUUUGUUAGCUGAUUUUUUUUCCCGAGACAAAUCAUUUUUUUUGCUUCUCUGAUAGAAAGACAAAAAACAUUGCAUUUAUUAUCUGCUUCAUUUUGUCUGGAAAAGCACAGCCAAACAACCCCUAUUAACAAGAGGAAAAAUAAGUCAGAAGUGGGCCACAGCUUGGAAGGCUUUCAGAGUCUGGCCGCUGCCCACACUUCAGCCUCUUCUCAUCCCCCGACCCCGUGUCUCAACUCUCAGCUCCUUCUACAUGGAAUUCCUGGCGGUUCCACAAUCCUACCAGCAACCAGUCCCCCACCAGGGGUAAUUCCUACGUCAGAAGACAGUCAUCGCCUUCUGACGGAGCACAGAACCCAGUCAGGGAAGAGACAAAUACGCAGGUAAUUAUAUCACCCAGGAUGCUGAGCGCAAUGCUGGAGAUGUGAACAGAGCAUGGUGGGGGCGUGAACAGGAGCACCUGUGGGAGUAGGUGGGCGGGUGGGCGGUCAGAGAAGAGCCUGAAAGAUGUUACAGGGUGGAGACCACCUGUCUGCACUUUCACAGAUGGAAAGAGGGACCAAGACUAAAGGAGCAGAUCCUCAAUUCAGAGGCUGUUUCGUCUAGUUUCACUGGCUCCUAGGGUGCUGCAUGCAGAGGCCGCGUUCCCAGGUGGCCUCUUCAGAUCCAAGCUCCCAGGUGUGAAACGACUGCACCAGCACCCCCAACUUAGGCUGUGCGCAGAAGAGCCUACAACGACCCUCAACCCAAGAUGGCGGCGGACGCCGGGCACUGCGAUCUGGAGCUUAAGAGGCACAACUGGGCCCGCCCAGCGAGGGGACCGCCCAGCGAGAACCCCGCCCCCUGCCCGCUGACGGGAUCCCUGGAGAGCAGCCCCGCCCACAGCCUAUCGGGGACAGCGUUUAAGCUCACACCUCUCCGUUCUUUGAUAGAAGAAUAAAACUUUCCUUUCCU